rnacentral:sRNA from 1 species
GAUUCCGUUGUGUGUUCCUCUGGGGUAAGCAAGUAGCAUUUCCUCCCCCAGAGUCCGCGGUCGGGAUGCUGUGCAAACUUGCCUAUCUCUGAAAACAGACGCUUCUGCGGUACCCGCACCCUGGGCUGGAUAUUUUCUGUUACCAACAACACAGAAUGUGGGAAGUUACUGGAGGAAAUCAAAUGUGCACUUUGCUCUCCACAUUCUCAAAGCCUGUUCCACUCACCUGAGGGAGAAGUCUUGGAAAGAGACCUAGUACUUCCUCUGCUCUGCAAAGACUAUUGCAAAGAAUUCUUUUACACUUGCCGAGGCCAUAUUCCAGAUUUUCCAAGAAAACAAGUCAGAGGACCAGCAUCUAACUACUUGGACCAGAUGGAAGAAUAUGACAAAGUGGAAGAGAUCAGCAGAAAGCACAAACACAACUGCUUCUGUAUUCAGGAGGUUGUGAGUGGGCUGCGGCAGCCCGUUGGUGCCCUGCAUAGUGGGGAUGGCUCGCACCGUCUCUUCAUUCUGGAAAAAGAAGGUUAUGUGAAGAUACUUACCCCUG